rnacentral:lncRNA from 1 species
AUGACGCUGACUGUGGAGUGGUCAUUACCGCUUGCUGUUUGGACCUGGGUCACUUUAUUGACUUGUCACCGUGGAGGCCCAAAUCGAAGCAGGCCAGCCAAAGCAAGAAAGCAGCCCACUGAGGAACACUUCUGCUCCAUCCAGUCCAAUCACUCUAAAGAACUCAGAAUUUUUUUUUUUUUGCUCCUCUUUUCUGGGUAUUUCAUAAUUCUUAAAGGAGUAACAAUGUUUGGAUCCACGGAGAUGAGCCAAGACUUGGGAAUGACCUGCAUUUGCAGGGUUGUUAGAAACGCACUGGGUUAAAGUUCAAAAAAUAAGAGCUGGGUUUCUAUACAUUUUAAACAUUUUUAUUUUCUGGAAGAUGUCCGGAUGAACCGCAAAAUCCUUUUUAAGUGCACUUCUGUAUAUUUACCUUAGACACUUUUUUGAAAUCUGCUUAUAAAUCUAACUCAUCUGACUCCAGUUUUUCCAACGUUGGGUUUCUCCUAGGCACAUAGAAAAGCAAAAGAGACUUUUAAUAUCCUGAGUUUCUCGUGGGCCUCCCAGCAAGGCUAGCUUUCUUAAGGCACCACCUUGGAAAUACUGUUUGCUUUUCUUUGUUAAGUUCUAUUAGCCUCAAACUUAGGAACCGAGCAGCAGUGAUGAGAGGUGCUAUUAACUAAUGCUGUUCCCAGCACUUGACAUGUAUUUGACUCAUUUAAUCUCCUAGACAACUUAUGAAUUAGGUACUUUUAUUAUUAUUCCCAUUUUAUAGAUGGAGAAAAUAAGGCACAGGGAAUUCGAUACUUUACCUAAGACAUCGCUGGUGCUAGGUAGGGGCAAAACUGGGACGUCCCCCAGGCAGCCAGGUUUCAGAGUCCAGCGUGCCUGCUAAUUCCUACUCUCCACACUACUUCCUCUCCAGUAGACAUCACGUGGCCACACGUACCUUUCUAGCAAGUUUGUUAUGGUGUCAUUCAUUUGCCCGCUCCAUGAAAUAGUGAAGAUCUCCUUCGUUUGCCCAAGUUUGCUCAUUUUUUCCCCCCCUGGUUAUUUACAUAACCAGCCCAAAUCCUCUUUGGUAAAUGAGGUGAAGUCUUCUGUUUCGACAAGAUCAACCAUAACUAUCUGAUGUUUUUAUCUUUUUCUUGGUGAUGGACUAAAUGAGUUUACCAUUCUUUUUGGUUUGAACAAAUGGUUGAUCCAGUUUUAGAGAGAAACUAUUUAUUUAUUUAUUUAUUUAUUUAUUUAUUUAUUUAUUUAUUUAAAAAUAUUUUAUUUAUUUAUUCCUGAGAGUCACACAGAGAGAGGCAGAGACACGGGCAGAGGGAGAAGCAGGCUCCCUGCAGGGAACCUGAUGUGGACUGGAUUCCAGGACCCCGGGAUCACGCCCUGAGCUGAAGUCAGAUGCUCAAUCGCUGAACCGCCACCAGGCAUCCCUAGACUGAGACUUUAGAUUGCCAGCUCCCAACCUCAAGUAAUUGUGACCUAGAGGAGGGCGCAUUACACAUGUGGGGAUCAGUAAAAUAACACUGUACAGAAGAAAUGUAAUUUUAAAAUUCAUGAAUAGAAUAAUUUUAUCAGUAAUCACUCAGAUGCAUCAAAACCCUAUCCCAUACGUAUGCAUAUAUGUGUGUGUAUAAAAUAUGUAUGUUUUCGGCAUAAACUUACUCUCACUUUGUAAGCAAACCCGUAUCAUGAUGAGUUUGCCCUGUCUAUUGUUACGUUUGCAAUUUAGGCCCAAACCUAACCUUUUCAGCAUGGCCGUGUUAUAACAGGUGUCUUUUGUGUUGAAUCAUGCAUCUAGCAUUUAUGUCCAUCAUGAACUAAUGCCUCUUAGUGGUUCAUCCCUUAUAUCGUGAUCUUCCAAAAUACAGUUGUGGAAAGGGGGAGGGAAAACAUUAAAUGUCAGUAGUUACAGCAAGACGGUCUCUAGGAAGGAGGCAGUUUCUUGCUGCUUUCACAUUCCUGUGGCCCUAGCGGAAAUGUAAAAGUGCAGGGUUUGCAUUGGAAUGAGAAUGGGGUCACCUACCCUUUGUAGUCAUCAUCAAGGAAGCAGAACUUCCUUCCAGAGAGACCAUAGGAAAUCAAUGAUCAUACUUUGCCAGUGAAGAGGUAAAUGUGGACAGCAGACGCCAUUAAAUAAAAGGGCAGCAGAAAAGUGAUUUACUCUAGAAGGCAGUGUGACUUUUUGGUCCGUUCCAAGAAUUCACAUUUGUGAUAUAAUAAUUAUAUUUAAAUAUUUUCUUUGGGAUUAUGUUUUAUUUAAAAAAAAAAAGGAAGGAGACAUGCCAUUAGGUGAUGCUACUCUCUUGUCAUUUGAACAUAGCUAUUUAAGGAAAGCAGAGUGUCUGGAAUAUGGUAACAGAUACCCUCUUCCCUUAUUUUUGUCUUCAUAAGAAUUGACCUGAUUUGUUAUGGCUCCUGGAUUUCUGUUUGUUUUUAAAUUUCGCAUAGUCCUGGAUGCAGAGGGGAAGCUUGCGG